GAAAGGCUUGUCAUUUGUCUUGAGAGUGAAAUUGACGCUUAGAAGACUUGGAUGGAAGUACAACAGAGAAACUAGAUGCCAAAUCAGAGACUUAUGCAUGAGGGAAAUUGAUAUUCAGAAUCAAUUGAUGAUUUUAGGAUGCUGUAUCUGGAGAAAAAGCAUAGAAUUUUAAGGAAAAUGCAUAUUUAUAAAGCCUUUCGGGAAAGAUUAGAUCAAUUUUCUCUAAACCAGCCAGUUUUUUUUCACAUAACCAUGAUGAAACCUCCAUUUCUUCUUUCUCUGAUGACUUUUUUCUGGGGAUCAUCUUUGUUAGUGUUAUCUGCUUCUUCACUGCCUCUCCCUUUGAUUUCUCUUUUGUUGUUGAAAUCUUCCCUCGAAGACCAUAUUUUCAGUUUCAGAGACCGGGACCCUACUCCUGCAUUUUCCAAGCCUGGUUUUGAACACCCUUUUUGGUGUUCAUGGUCUGGUGUCAAGGGCAAUCCUAAAACAGCUCAAGUCACGUCUCUGGAUCUCUCACAUUUAUUCCACAGAAAAUUAGAUAUUUGAGGAGUUUGGUGAACUUGAAUUUGAGUGGGAUUGAUUGUCCUCUCCAAUGAGCCAUUUUUGAACUCCAGCAAUUUAGAACUCUUGAUAUUAGCCGUAACUAUUUCAAUUCAACGUUCCGCUUUGGGUUUCCAAGCUUAGGUUCUUGAGAAUCUUCAAUGGAUAUAGCAACGAUUUUGAGGGUCCAUUAUCGAUAGAGUUCUUGUGGUUACGUUUCUUGGAGCAGCUCAAUCUCGAGGGAAGUUACUUUGAAGAUGAAAUAGCAGCUAUUUCUGGAAGGUUUACCAGGUUGAUGUUGCUUGACCUGGCUGGAAAUGUACUGGAAGGCACUUUACCGUGUCAACUCGGAUUCUUGACUCAGCUUGAACGGAUAGAGAUUGGCUACAAUGCUUUAAAGGCACCAUACUAGUAGUGUUUGCAUUGUUAUCGAAUCUCAAGUACUUGGACGUUUCAAAUUAUACUCUUUCAGGUCUACUCCCGAAAGAACUCGGUAAUUUAACUAAGCUGGAAGCUUUGUACUUUUUCAAGAAUCACGGGUGAAAUCUGGGUGAAUUACACGAACUUUAAAGCUUUUCAGGGUUCUUGAUUUAUCCGACAAUCAUCCCAGUAGUGCAAUUCUAGAAGGAAUCAGUGAGUUACCAAAAUCUCAACACUUACCUGGAACAACAAUCUUAGCGACUUUCUCCCACAAAAAUUGGGUUCAAAUGACUUGCUAUCACUUGAUGCCUUGUCGAAUUCUCUCACAGGUCCAAUACCUCCAAAUCUUUGCUAUGGGAAAAAGCUAUUCAGACUCAUAGUGUUUAAUAACAUGUUCAAGAAUGAGCUACCUGGAAGCUUUGUAAUCCAAAACAACCUGGAAGCUUUGUAAUCCAAAACAAUCUUCUCAACGGUACCAUAUCUUACUAUUUCGGACUGUUGAAAACCUGACGUUUGUGGAAGCGAGUAAGAACGACUUUACUGGCGAGAUUUAGAAAGAAUUGCUAUGGGAACAAGCUAUUCAGACUCGUACUGUUUAAUAACAUGUUCAAGAAUGAGCUACCUGGAAGCUUUGUAAACUGCACUUCACUUUCAAGAUUCCGAAUCCAAAACAAUCUUGUCAACGGUACCAUAUCUUACUGUUUCGGACCGUUGAAAAACUUGACGUUUGUGGAGGUGAGUAAGAACGACUUUACUGGCGAGAUUUAGAAGGAUGUUAGCUAUACACCGAUGUUACAGUUCCUUAACACCUUCGAGAACUCUUUUAUGCAGCAUUGUCGAGCAACAUUUGGGGUGCACCAAGUUUGCAGAUAUUCUCAGCUAGUCAGCUAAGCUAACUGGGGAAAUCCCUGAUUUCAUUGGUUGUAAAAACGUCUACAAAAUCGAGCUCCAAUGUAGUUCUCUAAACGAAAGCAUCCCCUGGUACAUUGAUCAUUGUGAAAAGCUUGUCUUCGAAUUUAAGCAGAAAUUUGUUUACUGGAAUAAUUCCAUGGAAAUAUCUACGCUUCCUUCAAUAACUGUUGUUGAUCUUUUGCAUAAUUUGCUCACUGGAACUAUCCCUUCAAACUUCGAAAACUGUAGCACUGAAAAAUUUCGACGUAUCCUUUAACUUGCUAACUGGCCCAAUCUCAUCGCCUGGUCUGAUAUUUCCUAACUUACACCCUUCAUUGUUUUGCGGUAACAACGACCUUUACGGCAGAAAUUUAGAGAGACCGUGCCCAGUUGAGGCGAUGGCCAUAGGUGACAUGGAAGUUAGUAACUAGCUGCAGCAGCCAUAGAAAAUGACUGGAGUUAUCAUUUGUAUUAUGGCAGCUGUUUUUGGGAUUGGCUUGUUUGUUCUCGUAGUUGGUACCCGAUGUUUCCAUGUGAAUUACAGUUGCAGGUUCAGUGAACGAUCGUGAGAUCAGACCAUGUAAAUUGAUCGCCUUCUAGCGUUUGAAUUUCACUGCUGAUGAUGUACAAAGCGGAGAUGCCACGCGGCGAGAUCAUGGAGGUGAAGAAGUUGUGUGGUAAGAAUUAAUAGACGUCUAACACGAAAAGGUGUGUUGGCAGAGGUUGACGUACUGGCGAACGUCAGGCACCGUAACAUAGUUGGCUUGUUAGGUUGUUGCAGCAACAGGGAGUGCACGAUGCUGCUCCAUGAAUACAUGCCCAACGGCAACUUGGACAACUUAUUGCAUGAAAAGAACAAAGGGGAGAACUUGGUGGCCGAUUGGGUGACAAGGUACAAAAUUACCCUUGUCGUUGCACAAGGCAGUUGUCAUCUUCACCAUGACUGUGAUCCGGUGAUCGUCCACUGCGGUCUCAAGCCAAGUAAUAUUUUAUUGGACAGUGAGAUGGAGGCCAGAUGGGCAGAUUUUAGAGUUGCCAAGUUGAUCCAGAGUGAUGACUGAUGAGUCUUUCAUUGUCGGUUGGCUCCUAUGGCUACAUUGUUCCAGGUCGAUGAAAAUAGUCUAUAGCUUCGGGGCAGUGUUGAUGGAGAUUUUAAGUGAAAAGAUCGGUGGAUUCGGAAUUCGGCGAUGGAACAACAUUGUGGAUUGGGUAAGUUCGAACCCGACGGAUUGGCCAUCGAUGAAGAAUAAUUUGAUGAUGCUGCAAGAAGCCUGGUCCAAGAGGAAACUACUAGAGAGCGUAGUUAAUGGCGUUGGCACUGCUGAUGGAAUUGACUAUUCUUUAGCACAAAAG